UUGACGGGGGCUCACACAAGCGGUGGAGCAUGUUGCUUAAUUCGAGGCAACGCGAAGAACCUUACCUGGGCUUGACAUGUACGGAUUAACUCUUGGAAACUUGAGCCACGCCUUCGGGUGGAACGUACACAGGUGUUGCAUGGCUGUCGUCAGCUCGUGCUGUGAAGUGUCGGGUUAAGUCCCUUAACGAGCGCAACCCCUAUCGUUAGUUGCCAGCGCGUCAUGGCGGGGACUCUAGCGAGACUGCCGGUGUCAAACCGGAGGAAGGUGGGGAUGACGUCAAGUCCUCAUGGCCCUUAUGUCCAGGGAUGCAAACGUGCUACAAUGGCGUGUACAGAGCGAUGCGAGGCCGCAAGGCGGAGCAAAUCGCAAAAAGCACGCCCCAGUUCGGAUUGCAGGCUGCAACUCGCCUGCAUGAAGCCGGAAUCGCUAGUAAUCGGAGAUCAGCUACGCUCCGGUGAAUACGUUCCUGAGCCUU
rnacentral:rRNA from 1 species